rnacentral:lncRNA from 1 species
GCACCCCCCAAGUUAUUAUGUAGCGAUCAAAACUGUGCUCAGCAUUUGAAACUCAAGCUGGUGUUUUCUGUUUUUGGCUUUCGACAGGAAACAAUGUUCCAGUCCCUGAAGCCGUUUCCUCUUCUGAGCUCACCUGAAAUUAAUACUUUGUUCUGCCAGAUGGGAAUCUCGCUGAGUACCUUGAAAUGGGGUCACACAACCAGUUUCUCUCUUCUUCCACUGCCUAGGAUUAGUAAGCAAGAGGCACCCUGAAUUUUGCAACUUAAUAGCAUAUGCAUGUUAUUUCCUAUAGCACUUCCUGUAAAAAAAAAAGAAGAAGAAAAGAGGUAUCCAGGAGAAAACAGAGUGGAUACAUAUUUUAAGAGGAUUGGAUACAAAAUAAGUUUGAAAUGGCUGGCUUGUUGUGUUCAUUAUUUAUUUGCUUUUAAAGCCUUUACAAAAAACCGACUUUCCUUGUACAAACCUACAGUUUAGCGGCUGACCUCAGAUUAAUAAAAUGC